rnacentral:rRNA from 1 species
GCAGGUGGUCUUUUUUGACAAAAAAUCUCCUCCUCCAUCCUCGUCUUCCCCUCCGCCAUGAAGGAGGUCGCACCCUCCUCCUCCACGCUCCACUUCCCCUCUGACAUGAACGAGGACGAACCCUCCUCCUCCACCCUCCUCUUCCCCUCCGCCAUGAACGAGGUCAGACCAGGCGUGGUUUUGGAUCUCGACGAUCCUCCUAGUCGCUACAACAGAUUGGGGAAAGUCACUACCGUCGGGGUGGAGCAGGGAAUCGGAUGCGGAGGUGCUGAAAAGGAGGCGGGGGUGGAUCUUGGCAGUCAUCUCCGCUGUCGGUCGGGGCGGAGCAGAGCAUCCCGGGCGCAAGGGGUGCUGAAAAGGAGGCGGCGGUCGGUCUUGGGAGCUCGUCGGCACUCACGGCCAUGUGCCUCUCGCCCGGUAAUCUCAGAUCCAGAACGGAGACAUCGUUCCUUUUUACGUGUAUGACUUGAUGCACUUGAGGGGAAACAAUGGUGUCCGCCCGAGGCAAUUCAUUGAGACUAUCGAUGACGACUGAGAAAAAAUGUGCCUAUGCAUGAUAUGGGGGCUGUCAAACAUGCGUCUGGUGCAAAUAAUCAAGAAAAAAAAGAUCCGUUAUGUACCCUUUUGUUGCGAUUUGGAAUCUUGGUAUGCAAACACUACUGUUUGCUUUAAUCAACAAUUUGAUCUGUUGUGUAUCCUUUUGUUGUUGGACCUAUAUUUCUCUUAUGAUCUUAUUCUGAACGCAAGAAGCUUUUGAAUAUGUGUGUGGAUGACUACUGUUUUUUCUCUCAUUGUCCAUUAC